rnacentral:tRNA from 1 species
AAAGGUCUAAUUUAUAAAAAAUAUUUGCUUGUCAAGCAUAAAAUGCCAACUGGCGUCCUUGA